rnacentral:rRNA from 1 species
CAGCAGCCGCGGUAAUACAGAGGAUGCAAGCGUUAUCCAGAAUGAUUGGGCGUAAAGCGUCUGUAGGUGGCUUUUCAAGUCCGCUGUCAAAUCCCAGGGCUCAACCCUGGACAGGCGGUGGAAACUACCAAGCUAGAGUACGGUAGGGGCAGAGGGAAUUUCCAGUGGAGCGGUGAAAUGCGUUGAGAUCGGAAAGAACACCAACGGCGAAAGCACUCUGCUGGGCCGACACUGACACUGAGAGACGAAAGCUAGGGGAGCAAAUGGGAUUAGAUACCCCGGUAGUCCCUGUCUCUUAUAA